GACAGAGGGUGCAAACGUUGUUCGGAAUUACUGGGCGUAAAGCGAGUGUAGGCGGUUUGGAAAGUCGGAUGUGAAAGCCCCGGGCUCAACCCGGGAAGUGCACUCGAUACUCCCAAGCCAGAGUAUCGGAGAGGUUGGCGGAAUUCUCGGUGUAGAGGUGAAAUUCGUAGAUAUCGAGAGGAACACCGGCGGCGAAGGCGGCCAACUGGACGAAUACUGACGCUGAGACUCGAAAGCGUGGGGAGCAAACAGG
rnacentral:rRNA from 1 species